rnacentral:rRNA from 1 species
ACGCUCGACACCUACGGGGGCAGCAGUGGGGAAUAUUGCACAAUGGGGGAAACCCUGAUGCAGCGACGCCGCGUGAAGGAAGAAGUAUUUCGGUAUGUAAACUUCUAUCAGCAGGGAAGAAAAUGACGGUACCUGACUAAGAAGCCCCGGCUAACUACGUGCCAACAGCCGCGGUAAUCUGAGCGGGCUGGCAAGGC